rnacentral:rRNA from 1 species
UUUGGGGGUGCAAUGCCUUCGAUCGAUUCUCAAACUUUAAAUACGUAAGAUAGAGAUGGUUGCUUGAUUGAACCUCUCUCCUGAAAACGUUGGCCUUGUGGGCCACUUUUGGUAAGCAGAACUGGCGAUAUGGGAUGAACCAUAAGGUUGGUUAAGGCGUCAAAAUCUCCGCUUAAAGAUCCCACGAAAGGUGUUGGUUCAUAUAGACAGCAGGACGGUGGCCAUGGAAGUCGGAAUCCGCUAAGGAGUGUGUAACAACUCACCUGCCGAAUGAACUAGCCCUGAAAAUGGAUGACGCUUAAGCGGAGUGCCGACACCGACCCGUUUUGGUAAGCAACGACCAAAAUGAGUAGGAGGGCGUGGCGAUUUUGUUCAGAAGGGUUCGACGCAAGUCGGCCUGGAACGGUCGCUAGUGCAGAUCUUGGUGGUAGUAGCAAAUAUUUAAGCGUGAUCCUUAAAGGACGAAGCGGGGAAGGGUUCCAUGCGAACAUUGAUUGGGCAUGGGUGAGUCGUUCCUAAGCCGGGUGGUAAUCGUUCUUACGAUCGGCGAAAGGGAAGUUGGUUAAAAUUCCAACACACGGAUGUGAAGGCGGCGACGCAUAUUGAGGUGGAGACGUUAGCGGUGACACUAGGCAGAGUUUUCUUUUCUGUUUAACCUGUGCUGCACUCUGUGGAAUCCGUUUAUCGGGAGAAACAGGUGCCUAGCGGGAAGAGCGUCGGGGGGUCCCCGGCGUCUAGUAUGUCACCGAUAGCCCUUGAAAAUCCAUCUGCAAUUUAAUUUCACGCCGUGGCGUACCGAUAACCGCAGCAGGUCCCCAAGGUGAACAGCCUCUGUCUAAUAUGAACAAUGCAGGUAAGGGAAGUCGGCAAAAUAGACCCGUAACUUUGGGAAAAGGGUUGGCUCUAGUGGGGCGAAGGCACAACUGGGUUGUGUUGAUUUGGUUGAGUGUGUCUGUUCGAGGUAAA